CAAAAUAACUUUUCCUUCUUGUGUCUUCCA
rnacentral:piRNA from 1 species